rnacentral:rRNA from 1 species
CCUACGGGAGGCAGCAGUGGGGAAUAUUGGGCAAUGGACGCAAGUCUGACCCAGCAACGCCGCGUGAAGGAAGAAGGCUUUCGGGUUGUAAACUUCUUUUAAGGGGGAAGAGCAGAAGACGGUACCCCUUGAAUAAGCCACGGCUAACUACGUGCCAGCAGCCGCGGUAAUACGUAGGUGGCAAGCGUUGUCCGGAUUUACUGGGUGUAAGGGGCGUGCAGCCGGAGAGACAAGUCAGAUGUGAAAUCCACGGGCUCAACCCGUGAACUGCAUUUGAAACUGUUUCCCUUGAGUGUCGGCAGGGUAGUCGGAAUUCCUGGUGUAGCGGUGAAAUGCGUAGAUAUAAGGAAGAACACCAGUGGCGAAGGCAGAUUACUGGACGAUAACUGACGGUGAGGCGCGAAAGCGUGGGGAGCAAACAGGAUUAGAUACCCUUGUAGUC